rnacentral:rRNA from 1 species
CUCAACCUGGGAAUGGCAUUCCAAACUGGCGGGCUAGAGUCCGGUAGAGGGAGGCGGAAUUCCCCGUGUAGCGGUGAAAUGCGUAGAUAUGGGGAGGAACACCGGUGGCGAAGGCGGCCUCCUGGACCGGCACUGACGCUGAGGUGCGAAAGCGUGGGUAGCGAACGGGAUUAGAUACCCCGGUAGUCCACGCCGUAAACGAUCAGAACUAGGUGUGGGGCGGUACGCCCGCUCCGUGCCGAAGCUAACGCGUUAAGUUCUGCGCCUGGGGAGUACGGCCGCAAGGCUAAAACUCAAAGGAAUUGACGGGGGCCCGCACAAGCGGUGGAGCAUGUGGUUUAAUUCGAUGCAACGCGAAGAACCUUACCUGGGCUUGACAUCGCCCGGAACCUGCUAGAGAUAGCGGGGUGCCUUCGGGAGCCG